rnacentral:rRNA from 1 species
GACGAAGGGGGCUAGCGUUGUUCGGAAUUACUGGGCGUAAAGCGCGUGUAGGCGGUUGUUCAAGUCGGGUGUGAAAGCCUUGAGCUCAACUCAAGAAAUGCACUCGGUACUGGAUGACUAGAGGACCGGAGAGGAUAGUGGAAUUCCCAGUGUAGUGGUGAAAUACGUAGAGAUUGGGAAGAACACCAGUGGCGAAGGCGGCUCACUGGCCCGGUACUGACGCUGAGGUGCGAAAGCGUGGGGAGCAAACAGG